AAUAUUGCACAAUGGAGGAAACUCUGAUGCAGCGACGCCGUGUGAGCGAUGAAGGCCUUCGGGUCGUAAAGCUCUGUCGAAAGGGAAGAAAGACCUAGUGGUUAAUACCCAUUAGGAGUGACGGUACCUUUAAAGGAAGCACCGGCUAACUACGUGCCAGCAGCCGCGGUAAUACGUAGGGUGCAAGCGUUGUUCGGAAUUAUUGGGCGUAAAGCGCGUGUAGGUGGUUAUGCAAGUCAAUUGUGAAAGCCCUGGGCUCAACCCAGGAAGUGCAAUCGAAACUACAUAGCUAGAGGACGGUAGAGGGAUGUGGAAUUCCUAGUGUAGAGGUGAAAUUCGUAGAUAUUAGGAGGAAUACCGGUGGCGAAGGCGGCAUCCUGGGCCGGUCCUGACACUGAGACGCGAAAGCGUGGGUAGCAAACAGGAUUAGAUACCCUGGUAGUCCACGCCGUA
rnacentral:rRNA from 1 species